CCGUGCGCUGGAUUAUGACU
rnacentral:sRNA from 1 species